GGAUGAACGUUGGCGGUGUGCCUAAUACAUGCAAGUCGAACGAAGAGAGUAGCAAUACAAUCUUAGUGGCGAACGGGUGAGUAACGCGUUGGUGAUCUGCCUCGAAGUGUGGAAUAACCUCCCGAAAGGGAAGCUAAUACCGCAUGGUCUCUCAGGGUUUAGAAAUCUGAGAGUAAAGGAUUUAUUCGCUUCGAGAGGAGCCUGCGUCCCAUCAGCUCGUUGGUAGGGUAACGGCCUACCAAGGCUAUGACGGGUAGGGGACCUGAGAGGGUGGCCCCCCACAAUGGAACUGAGACACGGACCAGACUCCUACGGGAGGCAGCAGUGAGGAAUAUUGGUCAAUGGGCGCAAGCCUGAACCAGCCAUCCCGCGUGCAGGAAGACGGCCCUAUGGGUUGUAAACUGCUUUUCCAGGGAGAGAAACUUACGCACGUGUUGCGUGACUGACGGUACCCUGGGAAUAAGCAUCGGCUAACUCCGUGCCAGCAGCCGCGGUAAUACGGAGGAUGCAAGCGUUAUCCGGAUUCAUUGGGUUUAAAGGGUGCGUAGGCGGGCUAUUAAGUCAGUGGUGAAAUCCUGCAGCUUAACUGCAGAACUGCCGUUGAUACUGAUAGUCUUGAGUUUGGUUAAGGUAGGCGGAAUGUGUAAUGUAGCGGUGAAAUGCUUAGAUAUUACACAGAACACCAAUUGCGUAGGCAGCUUACUGAGCCGACACUGACGCUGAGGCACGAAAGCGUGGGGAUCAAACAGGAUUAGAUACCCUGGUAGUCCACGCCGUAAACGAUGAUUACUCGCUGUUGGCGAUACACUGUCAGCGGCUAAGCAAAAGCAAUAAGUAAUCCACAUGGGGAGUACGGCCGCAAGGUUGAAACUCAAAGGAAUUGACGGGGGCCCGCACAAGCGGAGGAACAUGUGGUUUAAUUCGAUGAUACGCGAGGAACCUUACCUGGGCUUAAAUGUAGAGUGCAUUUUCUAGAGAUAGAAAUUCCCUUCGGGGCUUUCUGCAAGGUGCUGCAUGGUUGUCGUCAGCUCGUGCCGUGAGGUGUCGGGUUAAGUCCCAUAACGAGCGCAACCCUUAUCGUUAGUUGCCAGCUGGUAAAGCAGGGGACUCUAGCGAAACUGCCACCGUAAGGUGAGAGGAAGGUGGGGAUGACGUCAAAUCAGCACGGCCCUUAUGUCCAGGGCUACACACGUGUUACAAUGGCCGGUACAGAGGGCUGCCACCUGGUGACAGGAUGCUAAUCUCGAAAACCGGUCUCAGUUCGGAUCGAAGUCUGCAACUCGACUUCGUGAAGCCGGAUUCGCUAGUAAUCGCGCAUCAGCAACGGCGCGGUGAAUACGUUCCCGGGCCU
rnacentral:rRNA from 1 species